UACGUAGGUCCCGAGCGUUGUCCGGAUUUAUUGGGCAUAAAGCGAGCGCAGGUGGUUUAUUAAGUCUGGUGUAAAAGGCAGUGGCUCAACCAUUGUAUGCAUUGGAAACUGGUGGACUUGAGUGCAGGAGAGGAGAGUGGAAUUCCAUGUGUAGCGGUGAAAUGCGUAGAUAUAUGGAGGAACACCGGUGGCGAAAGCGGCUCUCUGGCCUGUAACUGACACUGAGGCUCGAAAGCGUGGGGAGCAAACAGG
rnacentral:rRNA from 1 species